UCACCAUUUUGAAUCCCCUGCUCCUUUCCACCAUUAAAAUUCAGACCUCUGUCUCUCUUUUCUCUAGAGCCUAUCUCUCUUUCUAGAUCUUUCAAGAUCCGGCAGUGGUUCGACGGUGAGUGGUGUGAUGGUGUUCGGGGAAGACGGUGGGGGGAGUGUAAUGGUGUUUUCAUGGUGACGGUGGUCGACGGCGGUUGGAAUACAACGGCAACAAACGAACGGCGACAGUGGGCUUCACGGUAAACAGCGACAACAACGAACGGCAGCGGUGGGCUUCACGGUAAAACAACCGUUAAUCCGGCAAGAAGUAUUGACACCGACAACAACGAACGGCGGUCGGGCCGAUUUUUCCGGCAAGAAGUUUGACACCAGCGGUGGUGUUCCAGCUCCGGCAGCCGGCGGAGCAAGCAUCUUUUCACUCCGAUGUUACAGAAGACAGUAGCAAUUCCCGAAGCUAAAGGGUCAGUUUCUACAGUUAGUUUUUGUUUAGUAGAAUCAGUGCAUUUUUGCUUUUAGGGAUUUAUUUGUUUUAUAUAAAUUUUCUUUACGCGUGUUUGACAAGGAUCAAAAUGGAUUAAUUUCUGCAUCCGAGCUUCGCCAUGUUAUGACUAAUCUUGGUGAGAAGCUGACCGACGAGGAAGUUGAUGAAACGAUCCGUGAGGCUGAUGUCGACGGUGAUGGUCAGAUCAACUACGAGGAAUUCGUGAAGGUCAUGAUGGCGAAGUGAGAACCUUUAACAUCAAACCCAUCUUUUAUUUUAGUUGUCGGGAUCGUUCAAAAACUCUAUCCGUUUUCCGUUAAAUGGGGGCAUAAAAAAUGGGGAAACGUGACGUAAUUUUUUUUGUUUUUUGUAAACAGGUUUAAACCCGUAAAAAAGUAGUUUUUUUUAAAAUUGUUUUUGUAAAAAAUCUAUUUUUUAAAAAAGUUUUACGUAAAACGUAAAACGUAAAAAAAUUAAAAAAAAAUCUGUUUGCAGCGACGAUCGUGGUGGUUUUUGUUGUAUUUUAGUUUUGCUCAGUCGGUUCAAAGAUUCGAGAUGUGUUUGGCUCGGAUUUGAGUUAUGUUCGGGAACCGAGUCUCAUUUUGGGUCGGCUCAAAAAAGUAGUUCAGAUUACAGGGUCUGGCCGACAAGCAGUGACGUUACACUCCGGGUCAGCCGUGGGUCGAGUUUCGGGUCAGUGGGUGCAGGUUUGGUUCCACCCGGUUCGGAAGCAUCAGGUCGACGGCUCAGUCAAACCGGGUUAGAUUUAGAGUUGUUCGGGUAAAGCUUCGGCUCGGUCUCGAUUCUGGUCUGGCAGUUCGGUAGCGAGUUAUUAUUACGUUAGUUAAGAUUUUAUUUAGUUAACGCGCACCGAGCUCGAACCGAUACUUUAGUGACUUGUUACGUUUGGCAUUUUGAUAGAAAUUUUAUAUAUUGUGUUUAUAUUGUUGA